rnacentral:rRNA from 1 species
AGAGUUUGAUCCUGGCUCAGGAUGAACGCUGGCGGCAUGCCUAAUACAUGCAAGUCGAACGAGAGGAAGGAAAGCUUGCUUUUCUGAAUCUAGUGGCGAACGGGUGAGUAACACGUAGGUAACCUGCCCAUGUGCCCGGGAUAACUUCUGGAAACGGAUGCUAAAACCGGAUAGGUAGCAGACAAGCAUUUGACUGCUAUUAAAGUGGCUAAAGGCCAUGAACAUGGAUGGACCUGCGGUGCAUUAGCUAGUUGGUGAGGUAACGGCCCGCCAAGGCGACGAUGCAUAGCCGGCCUGAGAGGGCGGACGGCCACAUUGGGACUGAGACACGGCCCAAACUCCUACGGGAGGCAGCAGUAGGGAAUUUUCGUCAAUGGGGGGAACCCUGAACGAGCAGUGCCGCGUGAGUGAGGAAGGUCUUCGGAUCGUAAAGCUCUGUUGUAAGAGAAAAACGACAUUCAUAGGGAAUGAUGAGUGAGUGAUGGUAUCUUACCAGAAAGUCACGGCUAACUACGUGCCAGCAGCCGCGGUAAUACGUAGGUGGCGAGCGUUAUCCGGAAUGAUUGGGCGUAAAGGGUGCGUAGGUGGCAGAACAAGUCUGGAGUAAAAGGUAUGGGCUCAACCCGUACUGGCUCUGGAAACUGUUCAGCUAGAGAACAGAAGAGGACGGCGGAACUCCAUGUGUAGCGGUAAAAUGCGUAGAUAUAUGGAAGAACACCGGUGGCGAAGGCGGCCGUCUGGUCUGUUGCUGACACUGAAGCACGAAAGCGUGGGGAGCAAAUAGGAUUAGAUACCCUAGUAGUCCACGCCGUAAACGAUG